rnacentral:lncRNA from 1 species
UGUCGUGAUAGGAAAUAGGGUGAGGGAUCCUUACUUGUUUUGGAGUCUGAAAUCGGGUUCUCACUGCGCCUACGGGCAGUCAUUAGAUUCCCUGAAUUUUUUUCUGGAAACUAAAAUACACUUCCGGUACCUGCACAUGUCCCCAAAAAACUCUAAAUUAGACCCAGAUCCUUUUUAGCCAAUUUUGAAAUUCCGGCACGACGGCGAUCCACCUCGGGUUGGCUGUUUCUGGCUGUUUUUGGCUGAAUUCGGACAAACUUGCAUUGGUUCCUAUGAUAAAACACCCCUAGGGCCCUCGGUGGGCCAAAAAAUUACAGAAAACUGAGGCUUAUC